rnacentral:ncRNA from 1 species
UUAAAGACUAUGAAGAGAAGAGUAGAUAAAUAGAUGAAUUUACAGAGAGCUCUAGAAGAUGAGAAUGAGCAAGGAGUUUUUUAUUGAAGAAGGUCUCAGAGUUGCACACCGAGUCUGGUUUCAGAGGUAGGCUGUGACGGUAUAACCCGUUAUAAGUUAUAGAGUAUAUUUAAUUAUGUACUUAAAAGGUCUAUAUGGCGACAUAUAGAUAAACUGAGGUGGUACCACGAAUAUAUAACUUUCGUCCUCAAG